rnacentral:rRNA from 1 species
UACGUAGGUGGCAAGCGUUGUCCGGAAUUAUUGGGCGUAAAGCGCGCGCAGGCGGUUCCUUAAGUCUGAUGUGAAAGCCCCCGCUCACCGGGAGGGUCAUUGGAAACUAGGGGACGUUGAGUGCAGAAGAGGAGAGCGGAAUUCCACGUGUAGCGGUGAAAUGCGUAGAGAUGUGGAGGAACACCAGUGGCGAAGGCGGCUCUCUGGUCUGUAACUGACGCUGAGGCGCGAAAGCGUGGGGAGCGAACAGGAUUAGAAACCCUGGUAGU